UCAAAUAACGAUUUGGUUGAGAAGGAAAAGACAUCCUUGGAUCUCUGAAGAAAACCAACAUUCUCCUUUGCUUCUUACAUUUAGAAAAAAAGCUACAACGGGGAGGUGGUUUCCUUUUCUGACAAGCAGUUGCAUUCAUCACAGGUGGCCUCACUUGUGGCUUUUAAGUCAAGCAGGAGGUUUGAGGAAGGAUGGAGUAAGUAUGAAGGUCUAGACUGCCCCCUGGAGGAUACAAAUCUACCAACAGCUGCAUUGCAAGAAAGGGUUCUUGCCAAAGGGAGGCACAAGGAUGUGACACAGUGUCUAACAGAGCACAGAGGUACAAUCCCUGGUCCUCAAAGGUGACUUUGGUGAAGGAGAGGAUGCUAUUUUUUCGUUCAUCAGGAAUCAUCAAGGAAAUUCUCUCCCCUUGGUUGCUCUUCACCAUUCCCUUGUAUCCGUCUACAAUGUGAUGGGGAGGCUGGCUAGGGAACUGUUGAUACCAAUAGAUGUUUUCAUUUAUUUGGAUGUUGGGAUGGGAGCAAUUAAGCUCUACUUCUCUUCCAUUGGAUGCUUCUAGCAGGGGUUCCUGGACAGGAUUUGCAGCUUGGCAGAAAAGAGUUCCUGUUAAAGUCAAACACAGGCAAACAACAGGAAGUCAACAUCUGUGGCCCCGGAUGAAAGUGUUGGAAGUUCAUGGAUCAAACAUACAACAUAGUAAUUGUUAUAUAAAAAGUGCUGACCAGAAGAACCACCUGAAGGAUUGAUGUGUCCUACCUAAGUGGAGAAAUCAACUGGGAACCAAAUGGGCUUUUGGUAGAAAUACCAUGUUUUCCCCAAAAUAAAACCGGGUCUUAUAUUAA